CUCUAUUUGGUUGAAUGUGAUAGUCUAUAACCAGCCUGAGGAGGUCUAUAACUCCAUUAGGUUGAAUGUGAUAGUCUAUAACCAGCCUGAGGAGGUCUAUAACUCCAUUAGGUUGAAUGUGACAGUCUGUCUAUAACCAGCCUGAGGAGGUCUAUAUCUCCAUUAGGUUGAAUGUGAUAGUCUAUAACCAGCCUGAGGAGGUCUAUAUCUCCAUUAGGUUGAAUGUGACAGUCUGUCUAUAACCAGCCUGAGGAGGUCUAUAACUCCAUUAGGUUGAAUGUGAUAGUCUAUAACCAGCCUGAGGAGGUCUAUAACUCCAUUAGGUUGAAUGUGACAGUCUGUCUAUAACCAGC
rnacentral:lncRNA from 1 species